GGAGUUGGCUGGACUGGUUGUUUCAUUGUCAUAGAUGCCAUGUUGGAAAGAAUCAAGCAUGAAAAAACUGUAGGUAAUUAUGCCUAUGCAACUUUAAUGAGAACCCAGAGGAAUUACAUGGUUCAAGCAGGAGACCAGUGUAUCUCUGUCCAUGAUGCACUGUUAGAGGCAGUUACUUGUGUAAAUACCAAAGUUCCAGCUAGAAACUUGUAUGCCUAUACCAUGCAAUAAUUUCAAAAAUCACCUUGUUAAUAUUACACCAUAUAAAUCCACAAGGUUGUACUUGCAGCCUAUCCAUGGAGUAGAAGUAUCUGGUUACAUUAAUGCCAGUUUUAUUGAUGAGUAAAGACAAUAGAAAGCUUACAUUAGGGACCCUUGAAAGAGAUCACUGAGGACUUCCAGUGGAUGCUCUGGAAACACAAUUUCACCAAGCUGUGUGAAAUGGGCAGAGAAAAAUGUCACCAAUACUGGCCAGCAGAAUAAUCCACAAGAUACCAGUACUUUGUUGUAGAUCCUGUGGCUGAGUACAACAUGCCAUAGUUUAUCACAAGGGAAUUUAAAGUCAUAGAUGCCAAGGACAGCCAGUCCUGAACAGUGAGACAGCUCCAGUUCACUGACUGCCCAGAUUAAAAAGUGCCAAAGUCUGGAAAAAGAUUUAUUGACUUAAUUGGCCAAGUGCAUAAAACAAAAGAGUACUGUGGUCAAGAUGGACCCAGUUCAGUUCACUGUAAUGUGAGCUUGGAAGGAGUAAAAUCUUCAUAAUAUUAAGCAUUGUUUUGGAAAUAAUGAGAUGUGAAAGAGUUGUAGAUAUCUUCCAGACCAUCAAAACAUACAGAACACAAUGGCCAGCCAUGGUACAAACAGAGAAUGAGAAUUGGUUUUUCUAUUGAGUUGUGCUAGAGAAACUGGGCAGCUUUGAUCAAUAU
rnacentral:lncRNA from 1 species